rnacentral:rRNA from 1 species
CCUACGGGGGGCAGCAGUGAGGAAUAUUGGUCAAUGGACGAGAGCCUGAACCAGCCAAGUAGCGUGAAGGAUGACUGCCCUAUGGGUUGUAAACUUCUUUUAUAUGGGAAUAAAAUGUUCCACGUGUGGGAUUUUGCAUGUACCUUAUGAAUAAGGAUCGGCUAACUCCGUGCCAGCAGCCGCGGUAAUACGGAGGAUCCGAGCGUUAUCCGGAUUUAUUGGGUUUAAAGGGAGCGUAGGUGGGUUGUUAAGUCAGUUGUGAAAGUUUGCGGCUCAACCGUAAAAUUGCAGUUGAAACUGGCAGUCUUGAGUACAGUAGAGGUAGGCGGAAUUCGUGGUGUAGCGGUGAAAUGCUUAGAUAUCACGAAGAACUCCGAUUGCGAAGGCAGCUUACUGGACUGCAACUGACACUGAGGCUCGAAAGUGUGGGUAUCAAACAGGAUUAGAUACCCGUGUAGUC